UCGCCUUCGCCUUCGCCUUCGCCUUCGUUCACUCCAAUUCAGUGAGUGACCUUUCAGAGAUAGAUUCAGACUCUCCACUAUUUCUAUCGCCAAAGCCGAAGAGAAGAGAAGCAGCUUUUUUGGGCUAUGGAGCCUCGCGUAGGGGGACGAUUCCGAGUCAGCCGGAAGAACAGUAGUGGAUCCUUUGGAGAGAUCUACUUAGGUGCGUUGCUCACUUCUUCUUUUUGCUUUCUUGCUUUUCGUUAUUGCUAACUCGUUUUUGCCGUUUUAUGGUAGAAGAAUCUGAGGGAGGGAAAGGCGAUAGAGGCUGCUAGGUCGUUGGGAUCAAGAGAACAGAAAGAGAGGUUGGUGCGGGUUUUGUUUCGAUACGUAGUGGGUUGUUGUUUGUGUGGAUUUUGAAAGGUUUAACAUCGACGGAAGGUAUUGUAUAUGGUUCUAUGCGAAAAAGUACCUGGAUUGUUUUUCUACCACUGUGUUCCUGUUUUUGUUCUUUGAUAUUGGUUCGUUGUUCUGUAUUCAUUCAGGUUGGGAAGUGAAAAGUGAAAUUAGAAAGAAUGAGAGUAAGAACAUAGGGAAGCUUGUUACCAUGUCGAUCUAUGUCGGGCUACUUUCAUCAACUUCCACCUAUGGUCUCCAUGAAACUGAGUAAGCAUCUGAAAAAGGAGUGAAGCAUUGGAGAAGAUUAUGGUAACCUAGUUGAUCAAGUAUUUCUUGUUUCAUUCACUUGGUUAUCAUCAUAAGCUGAUAUUUAUAUACUUCUUUUCAAUCUAUCCCAACUCCCCAUCUACAAAGGGCGCUGAAAUUUGUUCUGUUUCUAGCUGUUUAGAUAAAAAGUCUGAUGCAAAAUUUGUAAAAAGUUAUUGUUACCAAAAAUGCUUUGGUACUUAGCUAUACGGUGAAAUGCUUGUUAAAUUGACUGUGAUGUUGUAGUCUGAGCUGGUUGGAGUGAAGGGCAAUGCCUACAGGUCAGUUUUUGGCUCUGCGAUAUCCAAAUGGUGUGCAUAGUAUUAGCUCUGUGCCUUAAACUAGUGUAUCGUUUUGGAACUUUUUGUCUCUCUUUAAUUAAGUGAUAUUUUUUUUGUAGGAACCUGAUGCAAUGUAACUUCUUUAAUUAAGGCAUAAAAAAUUUGGCAGUCAACAUAUAGCAUUGGAGGGCAGUUAUAAGGAAGAAUUUGUUCAAGGAAUUUGACAACCAUCAAUGAAGACUUCAUAAGAGACAUGUUUUGGAACAACAUGUGUAUCAGCUUGGCCCCUAUGAAUGGGCAAAGUAUGUCGUGAAGGCGUAUGUAUAGGAGCUAAAGGAAAGCGUAAGAGGAAGUAGGUUGUUGCUGAAGGAAAGCAUCAUUUUUGUGCUUCUCUGCUGGUACAAUAUUCAUGCACUGUGUGGCAUGUUUUGUAACAAAUAGUUUGUAUUUGUAUCAGCUUUUGAUGUCCCAAGUAGAUGGGCAUGUAUUUGAAUGCUUUUCUUCUUUCAAUGUUGGCUUGGAUGAUUGGGAAAUCCUCCCUUUUAAAGUUUG